rnacentral:lncRNA from 1 species
AUUGGAGAUGAUCCAUUUUUGGAAACAUACACACAUUCAAUGACCCAACCUAACCCAAAGUAUGUGAACCAGUAAGAGAAUGGUAUACUUGAUUUUGGCUUCUUCCUUGGCAAAAGAUCCUGGAAUAUCAUCUCUGAGAUUUGAUAGUUCUCAAAGAUAUCUUACCACUUUAUGCAUUCUUUCAUCCAUUUAUUCAACAGAUUCUACCCUUUCUGAUCCAACGACACACUGAUCUUCUCUUUCUACAUCCCUUCCUUGAGCAAUCCCAUCCACUCUGAUGACACUUCCCUUAUAUACUGAAGACUUCAAUUAUCCAAAUCAGCGGUGAGCAAACUAUAGUCUGUAGGCUGCCUUUGGCUUGCCACUUGGUUUUGUAAAUAUUGUUACAAAAGCCAUUUUCUAUGGUUGCUUUCAUGCCACAAAGGAAGAUGUGAACUUUUGCAACCAAGAACAUAUGGCCCUCAGAGCUGAAAAUACUGUUUGGCCCUUUACAAACUUUAAACAAAUAAACAAGCAAAC